rnacentral:lncRNA from 1 species
CCGGAGCUGCAGAGCGCUCGAUAUAUAUUUGCAUCCAUGUUCGGGAAGGAAUUCGCCGCUGCUGCAGUCGAGCUGCGGAACAAUUGUGGUGUCAAUGCGAAGGUAGUGUUGAUUCAGAUGUUACUGACUUAAUUUCGGGAUCUCUUUAAUCACCACUAACUUUUUUGAAGGAGUUUCCGGUUUCGAUUCCUUUGCAGAUGAUACAGAAGCUGUCAACCAGACAGCCGAGCCUGGAAAACAGACAGAGGGUGACGAAGGAGAUCGCUGUCGAGAAAGGGAUCGAACUGGAUUUUGAUGAGCCGCCUCCUGAGAUUCCAGAGGUUAGCUAGCUGGUGGUGACGUCCAAUUACCUAUCUUCGAGCACGUUACUUAUUUUCGAACGCUAAUUGAUGCAGGUGGAUCCAAACCUGAAACAGAGAAGGAAUCAGAGCCGGCCGGUGGUGAACAUAGCAUCGGAAACCGCCCAGGAGCUGUCUGAAUUGGAUCAGGACGAUAAUUCGUCAUUG